CACGUAGGCGGAUAUUUAAGUCAGGGGUGAAAUCCCAGAGCUCAACUCUGGAACUGCCUUUGAUACUGGUAUCUUGAGUAUGGAAGAGGUAAGUGGAAUUCCGAGUGUAGAGGUGAAAUUCGUAGAUAUUCGGAGGAACACCAGUGGCGAAGGCGGCUUACUGGUCCAUUACUGACGCUGAGGUGCGAAAGCGUGGGAGCAAGCA
rnacentral:rRNA from 1 species